UAUGUUAUAAUUAUUCGUAGAGAUAAAUACGUUCCUCUUUAAGAUCUUUUUAUCUCUUAAUUCAUUUAUCAUUACUAACUUUAUCUUUAAUAAAAUUUUAUUUAUUUAAUUUGGAAAAAGAUAUCGUUGCUUCGAUUGAUAGGUUAGAUAAUAAUUUGAUAAAGUAAAAAAAAUAUAAGAAUAAAAGUCAGAACAUCUACGCAACAACGUUGACAUAACCAUGACCAGUAUGUAACUUGAUCCUAUGAGAAAAGUGCUCGCCAAUUUGAGAGACUGACGUGUGUCGGCUAGCAUAUUACGCCGUUUAAAAUUCAAAAUGGUGAAAGACAUCCGGAGAGAUGUCAGCAUUAAUUGGAUUCUGUUGAAACUCGUACGUUAUUGUCUGUAACGGUCAGAAAUGUAGAACAGUGACGGCGUACGAGUAGGGGGUGAAAACGUAAUUAACGAGGUUACCUAGCAAUUUUUAAUCCAUGGUGUUAGACAUUCAACAUUAGAAAGAAGAAUCGUUUUAGACUGUUUUUAAAGGAAACAGCUCACUUUCGUGGUAUAAUAACUAUUCUUUCUUUUAAAUAUAUUCUUCGUUUCACAUUUCCAUUACUUCUCUUUGCACAGUUCGCGAAUGAUCAACUUUAUCAAGUGGACUUUCGUGUCAUGUUUAAGACUAGUUCGAAAGUUCGCCGAGUGUCCAGAGAUGCUGGACCAGUUUUCUAGGAGAAACCUCUCGCACGACCCUUGGCUUGGACGAAAAGCGGUUCCCCUUCUCGCUCUAAGAGGCAAGUUACUCUCCUCUUUUGGAAUCCGGAACUCUGCGGUCCAGAGAUUCCAGUAGAGGAAGAUGUCCCGUGGGAAUCGUCUUGGAUGCUACUGUGAUGUACUACUUCUUUCUGACAUUUCUUUUUCUUUUUUCAUCACAGAAAGAACUUGGAAAAUCCUUUUUCAUAGAAAUUUCACGAACUGAUUGUAUUCACUAGUAAAAGCAUUUAGGAUUUCGAGGCGAAAGCUUGCAUAGUUUCUAUGAAUCGUUGUUUCAAUCAGCAGCAACAAUAAUAAUGGUUUAGAAUUUGCUCUUUCCCUCUCUUCCUUUCUCUCUCACUCUAGCUCUUUCAAAUCGCAAGCAGCAAUCGAGGGUGUUUUCAUGGUACGUUUUCGAAUCGUACCGGUAACGCGUCACAAUCGCGAACUCGUAGCGUUGACGCUCAAAUUUCUCUCCCGUGUGUUCGUGUUCCACGCUAAUAUUCCGACGGUGGCUCAUUGGGCAGCGCACGCUGCACUUUGCCCGCAAACAAACCCCGAAACAACAAUUGAUUCCGGCAAACACGUCGCGCCGAGUGGACCAGCAGCGUGUAAAACAUCGAACAACUGGCUUUUCUUGCUUCCUGUUGAACAUGGAGGGGUCCGUACUGCCGAAGAAAUUUACGGGAUUGUAUCCGUGCAAGAGUCUUUUUGCGAUACUUCCUUCCUGCCACCCAAUCUAUUUACUUACUAGACACUCUUCGAUAGCGACAAGGGUGUAAUUUCAUUUGAUCCUUUCAUUUAUCGUUAAUAUCGAUAACUUUUUUUCUAUGCUUAUUGCUUAUUUUGACUUUUUUUUUUUUAAAAUAGAUAUAGAUAUUAUCAUCUUUAUAUAAGUAAUCUUUGUACUUAUAUUUACAUCUCCUUUUCCCUUGGUUCAUUCAUUCGAAGUUGAAAAUGUUUUUACGAUAAUAAACGUACCUAGUCGUGGAUAAGUAAAGUGCGAGCUUUUGUUGGGUAAUUCGAGUACAAUUUGCCUUUUACGAAGCCAUAACUGUAAAAGCGUCACACUCGUUGGGUGAAUUGCGAUCGUCCAAUUGGUCGUUUAUUCUAACCUUCAUAUUCGUCGUUUGAUUUGAGCUAGGCGCUCGGAAGUUCCAUUUCAAUAAAUAACUCCGACUCGCUUGAACUUUAUUUUACAAUUGAAACAAUUUCUUCGGUCUUAUAACGAUGCCUUGUUUAUGAAUGCCAUGGUUAUGAUAAUUUAAUGCGAAAUACGCGUAUGCGAUGAUUCAGCAUGAGGAAUACGAUAACGAAAACAAUUUGCCUCUGCAUGCAAUAAUUAAUACGUUGUCCGAGCUUCUGGUUGUCAUAGUUAUUCCCUAAAUCGAAUCACGUACGUAUUUUGAUGUGUACUCGUACAACAAAAUUCAACGCAACGAGUUUCACGGACUUUGAUCAAAUUUUGGACAACUUCGAAAGAAAAGAACGUAAUCGAUUAGCAUAUAGAUAUAGUAAUCAAUAACUUUACUACACGUUUAUCAUAUAUUAAAAAUAAUAGUGAAAUAAAUGUAGUACGAAGUAUAAAAUCUCGUUAAUUUUUCGACAAAUCGAUUUCAACAUCUUUUAAUUCCUUCAUUUCCAACUAGAAUCACGCGUAACGUCUCUCAGAUAUGAAGAUCUCGUUUUGCAGGUUACAGUCCAGCCAAUCUUAAUCGCGCGACGGAAAUACGCUGUGAGAUGUAUAAUGCUCGGUAGGAAAUGACGUCAUCACUCAGUGCAGUGUUAGAGGAAGAUAGAGAGAGAGAGAGAGAGAGAGAGGGAGAGAGAGUGAGAGAGUAAAGAGACAGAGAGGGUCGAAGUGGGAACACGAUAGGGUAGUGAAGAGGAGCGAGAGGGUUGAAGAGGGUGAGAGAACAGGCUGGUGGGAAGAGGAAGAAGGGAGGAACGGAGAGGGACACAGAUUUUAGCGAAAUACCGGCAGGUAGGAUCGGUUGAGUUAUGCUCGUAUUUCCCGUCAACACAUCCGAUGAUGUCUACGGUAAUGUAACCGAAAUGUAUGAACGUUCCGUACUGCAAGAUUUGCCUGUGUAAACGACCACUAUUAUAAACGUGCUUUAAUGUAUGUGUGAGGAAACUGAUCAUGGUACGCUGUAUCGGUUCUUCGUAUUGCAAAGCGUACGUAUGCUUUUCAAAAGUCAUAGAUCGUGCUACGAUAGAAGUCAAUGUGGUGAUUAGAGGUUGAUUCGUAGCAUGAAUGAACCUGUUUCUCUAUUUGUAAGUCUGAAGGUAAUGCAGUGGUCUCGUUAUACGUAGAAUAUAAGAAUAUAUGUAUUAGCACAUUGAUACCAGGUACAUCCGAUUAGAUCUCAAUGAAAAACUCGUGCUUUUCAAAAAAAUUUUUUCUUAAAAUUCUAGGUCGAUUCAGUAAUUUCUUAUGGCUCUUUUCACUUUCUACGGAUUAACUUUACUCCAGUACGUACUCGAACGUACAGACGUGAAAAAGAAAAGAGAAUAAGAGAGUGAACGUGUGAGUGAGCAUCGAGAGAAAAAGAGAGAGCGAUGAACGCAGACUAGCGAGGUUCGAUUCUCUUUCAACCCCACCACCAACGACAGCUAGCACCGGUGGUGGUCUUUCUCUCGCGAGUUAGCCGCAUGCGCCGUAAAAAAGUACGGCCGCAGCGGCAGCGUUUCACUCUUCGAGCUUCGUCUACCCGUUGGCCGAUAAAAAAGCUCUCCGCCGCGAGCUUUCGUCGGGACAUCCUCGUCGCGUACAAAUCUACCUUUCUACGGCGUUCUUUCUUUCGUCGCGUCGCGAGCAUUCUUUUGUGAUAAGAACCAUGGGAGGUUCUCCUCGCUGGGAAGACAAAGAAGAAAGCUAAAAAACAGAUUGAUUUCAGAAGAGAAAGAAAGAAAGAAAGAGAGAGAGAGAGAGAGAGAGAGAGAGAGAGAGACAGAGAGAUAGAGAGAAAGAAGAUUCAACGUCGUCGUACAAUGUCUUCCAUGCAAGUCGUCGUCGUUGUCGUCGUCCAUGGUGCUCGGCCUCCGACGUCGACGAUAAGGGUUGCUUCUCCGUGGAAACCCUGGGGGGAAUAACGUACCAAAAGGAAAGUUCCGUAAACGAAGAUUUAUCGAAAUAACAUCUUAAUGUAAGGAUAAAAUAUUUACAGUAUCAUUCGUUUAAAAUGUCAACGUCAUAUUUAUUUUCUCAUACCCGUUAAGUUCCCUAUCCACUAUAACUUAAUAAAGAUAUAUUAUUCAUGCAAUGCAAAA